rnacentral:rRNA from 1 species
AACGCAGCGAAGGGCGAUAAGUAAUGCGAAUUGCAGAAUUCAGUGAGUCAUCGAAUCUUUGAACGCACAUUGCGCCCUUUAGUAUUCUGAAGGGGCAUGCCUGUUCGAGCGUCAUUAUCACUAAUCAAGCCUUGGCUUGCUGUGGGUCUCUUGUCGUUGAACCGACAGGCCCUAAAGAUAAUGACGGCGUUAUUUGGACCCUAGAUGCAACGAGCUUUCAUUAGCACGCGUUUAGUCGGACCUUUUAGCCCGGUCUUUUUAACCAAUUUUCUAAGGUUGACCUCGGAUCAGGUAGGAAUACCCGCUGAACUUAA